UCUUCCCUCUUUCCUCGUGCCUAAUACAUGCAAGUCGAGCGAACAGACGAGGAGCUUGCUCCUCUGACGUUAGCGGCGGACGGGUGAGUAACACGUGGAUAACCUACCUAUAAGACUGGGAUAACUUCGGGAAACCGGAGCUAAUACCGGAUAAUAUAUUGAACCGCAUGGUUCAAUAGUGAAAGACGGUUUUGCUGUCACUUAUAGAUGGAUCCGCGCCGCAUUAGCUAGUUGGUAAGGUAACGGCUUACCCAGGCAACGAUGCGUAGCCGACCUGAGAGGGUGAUCGGCCACACUGGAACUGAGACACGGUACAGACUCCUACGGGAGGCAGCAGUAGAGAAUCUUCCGCAAUGGGCGAAAGCCUGACGGAGCAACGCCGCGUGAGUGAUGAAGGUCUUCGGAUCGUAAAAUGCUGUUAUUCGGGAAGAACAAAUGUGUAAGUAACUAUGCACGUCUUGACGGUACCUAAUCAGAAAGCCACGGCUAACUCCGUG
rnacentral:rRNA from 1 species